CGUGUAGGCGGUCUAGCAAGUCAGGGGUGAAAUACCACGGCUCAACCGUGGAAUUGCCUUUGAAACUACUGGACUUGAGGCCGUGAGAGGAGACUGGAAUUCCCAGUGUAGCGGUGAAAUGCAUAGAUAUUGGGAAGAACACCAGUGGCGAAGGCGAGUCUCUGGCACGGUUCUGACGCUGAGGCGCGAAAGCUAGGGGAGCAAACG
rnacentral:rRNA from 1 species